rnacentral:rRNA from 1 species
ACGCCUUAUACAUGCAAGUCGAACGAAGUAGCAAUACUUAGUGGCAGACGGGUGAGUAACAUGUAGGUAUCUCCCCUUUGGUGAGGAAUAACACGAGGAAACUUGUGCUAAUACCUCAUAAGUCUUUACAGAGAAAGCUUUAUGCGCCGAAGGAUGAGCCUGCAUUUGAUUAGUUUGUUGGUGGGGUAAUGGCCUACCAAGACUUUGAUCAAUAGCUGAUCUGAGAGGAUGAUCAGCCACAUUGGGACUGAGACACGGCCCAAACUCCUACGGGAGGCAGCAGUAGGGAAUAUUGCACAAUGGAGGAAACUCUGAUGCAGCGAUGCCGCGUGAGUGAAGAAGGCCUUUGGGUUGUAAAGCUCUUUCGUCGGGGAAGAAAAUGACUGUACCCGAAUAAGAAGGUCCGGCUAACUUCGUGCCAGCAGCCGCGGUAAUACGAAGGGACCUAGCGUAGUUCGGAAUUACUGGGCUUAAAGAGUUCGUAGGUGGUUAAAAAAGUUGGUGGUGAAAUCCCAGAGCUUAACUCUGGAACUGCCAUCAAAACUUUUUAGCUAGAGUAUGAUAGAGGAAAGCAGAAUUUCUAGUGUAGAGGUGAAAUUCGUAGAUAUUAGAAAGAAUACCAAUUGCGAAGGCAGCUUUCUGGAUCAUUACUGACGCUGAGGAACGAAAGCAUGGGUAGCGAAGAGGAUUAGAUACCCUCGUAGUCCAUGCCGUAAACGAUGUGUGUUAGACGUUGGAAAUUUAUUUUCAGUGUCGCAGCGAAAGCAUUAAACACACCCGCC